rnacentral:rRNA from 1 species
UGGGGAAUAUUGGACAAUGGGCGCAAGCCUGAUCCAGCCAUGCCGCGUGUGUGAAGAAGGCCUUUUGGUUGUAAAGCACUUUAAGCGAGGAGGAGGCUACUUGGAUUAAUACUCUAGGAUAGUGGACGUUACUCGCAGAAUAAGCACCGGCUAACUCUGUGCCAGCAGCCGCGGUAAUACAGAGGGUGCGAGCGUUAAUCGGAUUUACUGGGCGUAAAGCGUGCGUAGGCGGCUUUUUAAGUCGGAUGUGAAAUCCCUGAGCUUAACUUAGGAAUUGCAUUCGAUACUGGGAAGCUAGAGUAUGGGAGAGGAUGGUAGAAUUCCAGGUGUAGCGGUGAAAUGCGUAGAGAUCUGGAGGAAUACCGACGGCGAAGGCAGCCAUCUGGCCUAAUACUGACGCUGAGGUACGAAAGCAUGGGGAGCAAACAGG